rnacentral:rRNA from 1 species
GCUAAAUAUUUAGCCCCACCAAUCCAUAUAUACCGUUCAUAUUUUUUUCCUCAAACUAAAACAUUCUUAAUAUUUAGUAAAGGCGAUUAAAAAAUUCCUCUGGAGCAAUAACUGUAGUACCGCAAGGGAAAAAUGAAAUAAAAAUGAAAUAACUUUAAGCAAGAAAAAGUAGAGUUUAAUCCUCGUACCUUUUGCAUCAUGAUUUAACUAGUCUAAUAAAGCAAAAAGACUUUCAGUUUUAACCCCCGAACCUAGACGAGCUAUUCUAGGGCAGCUUUAUGAGCAAACCCGUCUCUGUCGCAAAAGAGUGGGAAGACCCUAAAAUAGCGGUGACAGACCUAACGAGUCUAGCGAUAGCUGGUUGCUCAAAAAUAGGAUUUUAGUCCUGCUUAAAGAUUUAUUUAUAAUAAAAAAUUUUAUCUUUAAAGUUAUUCAAACAAGGUACAGCCUGUUUGAAAUAGGAAACAACCUCAACUUCUGGGUUAUAUUAAGCCGAUUUUUGAUAAAGUAGGCUUAAAAGCAGCCAUCUUAAACGAAAGCGUCAAAGCUUAAUCAUUAAUCUCACAAAUCUCUUAAUUUUCUUUUAACCCCUCCCCACUAAUGAGCAAUUCUAUACUUUUAUAGAAAUUUUUAUGUUAAAACUAGUAAUAAGAAAUAGACCUUCUCUUUAAUGUAAACUUAUAUCAGCAAGGACAUCCCACUGAUUUUUAACGCCCUUAUAUCAAUAGUAGAAACUCACCAAGAAAAGUCUACUUUUUUUAACGUUAACCUUACACAAGAACAUUUUAAGAAAGAUUAAAAGAAAAAGAAGGAACUCGGCAAAUAUUAGCCCCGCCUGUUUACCAAAAACAUCGCCUCUUGAUCACAAAUAAGAGGUCCAGCCUGCCCAGUGACUUUGUUCAACGGCCGCGGUAUCCUAACCGUGCGAAGGUAGCGUAAUCACUUGUCCUUUAAAUAAGGACUAGUAUGAAUGGCCCCACGAAGGCUAUACUGUCUCCUUUUUCUAAUCAAUGAAACUAAUCUUCCCGUGAAGAAGCGGGAAUAACUAUAUAAGACGAGAAGACCCUAUGGAGCUUUAAACUAUUGAAACACUUGCUUUAUUACUCUUUCCUCCUGAGCCCUUUCAAAUAUUUUAGCAUUUUUAUUUCUAGUUUUAGGUUGGGGUGACCACGGAGUAAAACUUAACCUCCAUGAUGUAAGAGAAUUCCCUCUCAGCUGAAAGUUACCACUUUAAGCACCAAAAAAUUGACUUCCAUUGACCCAAAUAAUUGAUCAACGAACCAAGUUACCCUAGGGAUAACAGCGCAAUCUACUUCAAGAGCUCAUAUCGACAAGUAGGUUUACGACCUCGAUGUUGGAUCAGGGUAUCCUAGUGGUGCAGCCGCUACUAAUGGUUCGUUGUCAACGAUAAAAC